GCAGGGAGGGUAGAAAGGACUGCCAAGCAGAGAAAGAAACAUGAAUCAGAACCAGCUAAUACAGGAUGGGAGAGUACAUGUGCCAUUAUCAAACACACAGAGGAGUGAAUAAGAAGCAAAGGAUAUUGCCACGGUUUCUACGGGACUGAACAAAGGGGGACCCACACAGGAAUGAAAACUUAAAACAAAACAGCCACUAAGGAAGGCGCAGAGGGACUUCCUUUCGGCCCGAAACAGUAUCUGUGCUGCCAAAACUAGUGGGACACUCCCCUGCUGAACCUGAAAAAGCAAGGUACUAUGACAUACUACAUACCACCUAUGCAGAGGAACAUGUGACAAGAAGCUAUGGUAGUCUAUUCCAGCCUUAGGCAGGACCUGAGGGUGACCCCCAAGCAACAGUUUGCAAAAAGCAGGGUACUCAGUCCUGCUGAAGACAUGGAUGCUUCCAACUCCCUGGUUUAGCUUGGAUAUGGAUUCUUCCCCAUCCGACCAUCCAGAUGAAAACACACCCAGGCUAAUACCUUGAUUGCAACUGCAGCCUUUUGACAUGUUGUGUAGAGAGUCCCGCUACACCAUGCCAGACUUCUGACCCACAGAAACUGUGAGGGGAUAAGCACACAUUUUGUGGUAUGUUUGUGGUAAUUUGUUACACAGCAAUAAA
rnacentral:lncRNA from 1 species